UUCAACAUUAGCCUUGGCCUUUUAGUGCUACCCUGUAGUAGCUCCUGGGGUGUGAGCUAAAAUACCUUUCCUGCUCCUCCUCACAGCCCUUAACCAGUUCUGGGUGAGGGCUGCACUCAGAAAAUUCUUCCAGCUUGAUUUCUGACCAAAGCAGAAAAUUUCCAGAUUUGCUACAUUAUCCUAAAUGGAGAGUGUUUUAUAGGCAAAGGUUUUAAAAACACUGUCAGUGUGAAUUCUGACAAAGCCUGUCCUUGCUUAGCAUUUUUGGAAUAGUUCAGUAGUUGCGGAGUUAACCACCUCACAUCUCACCUUUUAAACUGCCCACAAGUUGGCGAAAUGCUAUGCACGACUGUAUCUCAUGAAAAUUGUUUUUUUAGAUCAUUAUUUAAAUGUAUCUAUAAAUUUAUUAAAACUAUUUCCUAGGUAUAAUGGUAAUAAUCAUGCACAGCAUAAGUCUGUAAAAUACUACAAAAAUAUUAGGUAGUGGUGGUGAUAAUGAAAUAACAACAGCUAACAUUUAUUUCAGAUUGAUUUUGUGCCAAACUCAGUUAUAAAGAGUAUAGUAAGUUACUCUUCAAAGCAAUCCUGUGAGACAGGACUAUUAAUAUCCCCAUUUUAUGGAUAAGAAAAUCGAGGCAAAAACGUGUCUAAGGUCACACAGUUACUACGUACUAGAGGUCAGAGCCAGGACUCACUCCAGAGCCCACACUGUUAUCCAGUGGAUACUACUAUUGUUCAUCCUUAACUGCCAUUUGAAACAGGAGAAAGUGGAACCUCUUAGCAGUGUAAAUCUCCAGGUCCACAGAUGGGAUUCUGGAGAAGAUGACUCCCCCUAUGGUCCCCAGGAUGCCUGCUGGUCUUACAGGGGAGUCGCUAUCUGAGGAGCUGGCUUUCGCGCUAAACUGCAAGGGGUGGUGUAGUUCACUGUGGGAGGAGUGAGAAGCUUAACAGGUCAAAUGGGAUACCUCUGUAUAUUAAAAGUAACUUCAGCACGCAUAUUUCUGUUUUAGAAAGACAAAUAACUCUCACAUUUGUACAGAUUCUGGGACGGAGCCCACUGCCUCUAGACAUUUUCCUGGAUCUCUCCUUGUUUUUAAUUCCCUGUUUUAAGUGGUCUUCUCUUUCUUCAGGUACACCUUCUUUCUCCACUGGGGAAAAUAAACUGCUUUCUACAUGCUGUUCCUAAUCAUAGAUCUCCUCUAAUCCAAGACCGUUGUUUUCUUCUUGCUUUUCUGACUGUGUAGGCCAUAUGUGCAGUUAGUCAGUGACUCCCUGUUGUGCUAUGGAUUUUAGAGGCUCUGCUUAACUGCAGUUUGUUCUUUUCCAAAUGUGUGCCUGGUUUUGCUAAUUCAUGGCUUAGCUGCUUUAUGCUAAUCAGUGACCAGGCUUCCUCAUGGAGCCAGCCCUGUGUGUUUGGUUUUUCUCCCUUUCCCCCCAGUGUAGGUCUACCUGAAACAUGGGUUUGUUCGUCUAUGUUGUUUUUUUAUUGGUAUUUUCCCAUUUAUGUCUUUUCAUAUAUCAUCUAUGUUUUUCACAAUUAAAUUCUAUCAAAAACAUUGUCAAGUGAUGAAAAAAAAAUGAGCCAAAUCUUUUUGCUACCAUUUUAAAUAUUAAGUGCACUGAGGGGAAUUUGGGCUGGGAGAAAACACUGUAAGUUGUUGUAAGCCACCUAAAAUAUGAGAGGGAAUCUGUAAAUAUCUCGUUAACUGGGUUAGCAGCUAUGCAUAUUCUUCGUUUCCCAGUUUGGAUUCCACUGCUGAUGAGAAAAUGAUACAUUUUUUUCUUUUUUAAAAACGUUUUUAAUUUUUUGUUUAGGAUAAGUAAAACUUACUAAAUCAUUGGCUUGGCUAAAGAACUAUUUCCAGGUUUUUUUCUCCUGGCCAUCCUUAUCAUAUCCCCUUCCAGAAUCCUCUGUUCACCCUAGACCACAAUCCCUUCGUUUAAUCCAAGACAUUGUCAGUUUUGCCACCUGUGGUAUUGUACCACAUAAUGGCAGCUUCUCUUUCAGUUCAUUCAUCAUGGGGAAUUAAAAAAACUAAUAAUGCUGGUAUUUAUUGAGUAACUGCAAACUGUGCUGUUUGCAUGUAAUUUUCACUUUACAAAUCCUCACAAUAACUGUAUGUAAUAGGCAGCACCCCUCCAUCUGUAGGGGAGGAAACUGAGGACCAGAGCUCAUGCCACGAGCAGCAGAGCGCUUGGUUUCCUGGGGCUGGCCUCACUGCACAGCCGAUAGCCCUUCCACCACUCAUUUCCAGUCCAUUUUAGAGUAAAACACUUAAUAAUAAUAACACCGCUUGUCCUCCAAAGCAACUUUUGUGGAUACCCUAGACAUUCUGCCAUUUCAUAUUUCUCUGAGAUUAGAGAAAAGAUGUACAUUUCUUCUGUCACACAUUUUUGCAUUGUGGGGUUCUGAGUUCAUGUUAUAGUACACUUUUUAAUUUAAAUGAGAUUUAUGUAGUUUACUAUCUUUUCAAGGUAAAAUAUCUUACUUUUCAGAAAUAUUGCAAAAGUAGUGACAUGAAUAUUUACAGACUAUCAAACACUACUUACUAGAAGUAUUUCUUACAAUGCGUUUUCCCAAGGCUACUCCUUGGGCCUGAUUGAAUUGACCCUGUAGCUACAGUGAAAUAGUAAAGAUAAAAUGAACUUGUGAUCAGAAUAUCUGGGUUUAAGCUUUGGUUUUACCCAGUAUUUGCUAGAUAUGAUUUUGACAAGUCAUCCCUCUGUGUGUUGUUUUUCCUGUAUUUGUAAAGUGGAGAUGAAAAUACUUAUCUCGUAAGAUUGCUCUCAGGGAUUAAGCUUCAAGGCACAAUGAAGUGACAUGAUUAUAAUGUUCAUGUCAGUUCACUGUUGAGUGGAGUGUAGUUAACCACGAAGGCAUCUUGCAAAACAGCACUGUGGACUGAAAGCCCCGUGCGAUGUCUGGGAGUUCCCCUGGGUUUCUCAGAUGGAAAGUGUGUUUAUAUCUUCAUGCCUUUUGAAAGGAUUCUGGGGCUCUUGGUCUAUGGUUAAGGACUAACUUUAUUUGUAAAGUGUUUAAGUUUAUUUUGAUCCUAAGUUUAGUCAAGGAAUGAAGCCUGGAAGGGAGAGGCAGUUUGCACAGCAAUCCACGUGUCACCAAAUGGAGAGUCCAGUUUGGUCCAAGGAUUUUAGCUGAGUUCAGGAUGGUUGAGGUUUGAAUUCUGUUUACACUUGGCCAAACACUACUUCCUGUUUCUAAAGAAAAGAACCUUAGCAAGGUUUGGAUAUAGCCUGUACAAACGUUUUGUAAGAGGGAAGUGUAAAUGAGUCGGAAACGUUUCCAGAUUAGAUUUCCCUUAAAAUACUGUCAGGCUUAAAGAGUGAAGGGAGUAUACUUGGCAGGGCCUGGUUUGGACCUGUGAGCAGCUGGGAUGCUCUGCCAGGCUCGUGAUCACCACCAGAUUGCACCGUAGCUGACGUGCCGCCACGGGGGUCGCUUCUGCCUGUUCCUGUGAAACAGGACUUUAGAUGAGUCUAUAGCUUUUCUGCAGUGUUUUGGGCUCACUCUGACUUGUAGCAGUUUGGAUGUUCAGUGCUCCCUGCCUAGGUUGAAUAGAUUCUGCCUCUGUGUUUUUCGAGCAGCUUUGUAAAAAGAGCAUGCCUUACAAAUGCACUAUUAUGACACUAGGGGCUUUGCCUGAUGGUGUUUUAUUUAUUUUGGAAAAUCCACUUUACAUAUAUGAUAUGCUUUUACUUU